UACGGGGGGGGCAAGCGUUGUUCGGAAUUACUGGGCGUAAAGCGCACGUAGGCGGAUUUGUAAGUCGGGUGUGAAAUCUCGGAGCUUAACUCCGAAACUGCAUUCGAUACUGCCGUGCUUGAGGACUGGAGAGGAGACUGGAAUUUACGGUGUAGCGGUGAAAUGCGUAGAUAUCGUAAGGAAGACCAGUGGCGAAGGCGGGUCUCUGGACAGUUCCUGACGCUGAGGCACGAAGGUCAGGGGAGCAAACGGG
rnacentral:rRNA from 1 species